rnacentral:rRNA from 1 species
GAUGAACGCUGGUGGCGUGCUUAACACAUGCAAGUCGAACGAUGAAGCCCAGCUUGCUGGGUGGAUUAGUGGCGAACGGGUGAGUAACACGUGAGUAACCUGCCCUUAACUCUGGGAUAAGCCUGGGAAACUGGGUCUAAUACCGGAUAGGAGCGUCCACCGCAUGGUGGGUGUUGGAAAGAUUUAUCGGUUUUGGAUGGACUCGCGGCCUAUCAGCUUGUUGGUGAGGUAAUGGCUCACCAAGGCGACGACGGGUAGCCGGCCUGAGAGGGUGACCGGCCACACUGGGACUGAGACACGGCCCAGACUCCUACGGGAGGCAGCAGUGGGGAAUAUUGCACAAUGGGCGCAAGCCUGAUGCAGCGACGCCGCGUGAGGGAUGACGGCCUUCGGGUUGUAAACCUCUUUCAGUAGGGAAGAAGCGAAAGUGACGGUACCUGCAGAAGAAGCACCGGCUAACUACGUG